UACGUAGGGGUCGAGCGUUGUCCGGAGUUACUGGGCGUAAAGCGUGCGCAGGCGGCUCAUCGCGCCGUCGGCGUGAAAGCCCCCGGCUCAACCGGGGAGGGUCGUCGAGGACGGGUGAGCUUGAGGGUAUCAGGGGUUGGUGGAAUUCCCGGUGUAGUGGUGAAAUGCGUAGAGAUCGGGAGGAACACCCGUGGCGAAGGCGGCCAACUGGGAUACACCUGACGCUGAGACGCGAAAGCGUGGGGAGCAAACAGG
rnacentral:rRNA from 1 species